rnacentral:rRNA from 1 species
AUUGAACGCUGGCGGCGUGCCUAAUACAUGCAAGUAGGACGCAGUUGCGAACGGGUGAGUAACGCGUAGGUAACUACCUAUUAGAGGGGGAUAACUAUUGGAAACGAUAGCUAAUACCGCAUACUAGUAGAUGGACCUGCGUUGUAUUAGCUAGUAGGUAGGGUAAUGGCCGACCUAGGCAACGAGACAUAGCCGACCGGAGCGGGGUAUCGGCCACACUGGGAAUGCGACACGGCCCAGACUCCGACGGGCGGCAGCAGUAGGGAAUCUUCGGCAAUGGGGGGAACCCUGACCGCGCAACGCCGCGUGAGUGAAGAAGGUUUUCGGAUCUUAAAGCUCUGUUGUUAAGGAAGCGGUACUUAACCAGAAAGGGCCGGCUAACUACGUGCCAGCAGCCGCGGUAAUUC